rnacentral:rRNA from 1 species
AACGAACGCUGGCGGCAGGCUUAACACAUGCAAGUCGAGCGCCCCGCAAGGGGAGCGGCAGACGGGUGAGUAACGCGUGGGAAUGUACCCUUUGCUACGGAAUAGCUCCGGGAAACUGGAAUUAAUACCGUAUGUGCCCUACGGGGGAAAGAUUUAUCGGCAAAGGAUCGGCCCGCGUUGGAUUAGCUAGUUGGUGGGGUAAUGGCCUACCAAGGCGACGAUCAAUAGCUGGUCUGAGAGGAUGAUCAGCCACGUUCGGACUGAGACACGGGCAAAACUCCUAGGGGAGGCAGCAGUGGGAAAUAUUUGACAAUCGGCGCAAGCUUGAUCCAGCCAUGCCGCGUGAGUGAUGAAGGCCUUAGGGUUGUAAAGCUCUUUCACCGGGGAAGAUAAUGACGGUAUCCGGAGAAGAAGCCCCGGCUAACUUCGUGCCAGACGCCGCAGUAAAAC